rnacentral:tRNA from 1 species
GACUGGAUAGCCUAGUUGUUAAGGCAUCACAUACAACUUAUGUCCCUGCUCAUGCAAGAGUCCUUGGUUCGAGUCCGAGUCUAGUUA